rnacentral:rRNA from 1 species
GAUGAACGCUGGCGGCGUGCCUAAUACAUGCAAGUCGAGCGAACGGACGAGAAGCUUGCUUUUCUGAUGUUAGCGGCGGACGGGUGAGUAACACGUGGAUAACCUACCUAUAAGACUGGGAUAACUUCGGGAAACCGGAGCUAAUACCGGAUAAUAUUUUGAACCGCAUGGUUCAAAAGUGAAAGACGGCCUUGCUGUCACUUAUAGAUGGAUCCGCGCUGCAUUAGCUAGUUGGUAAGGUAACGGCUUACCAAGGCAGCGAUGCAUAGCCGACCUGAGAGGGUGAUCGGCCACACUGGAACUGAGACACGGUCCAGACUCCUACGGGAGGCAGCAGUAGGGAAUCUUCCGCAAUGGGCGAAAGCCUGACGGAGCAACGCCGCGUGAGUGAUGAAGGUCUUCGGAUCGUAAAACUCUGUUAUUAGGGAAGAACAUAUGUGUAAGUAACUGUGCACAUCUUGACGGUACCUAAUCAGAAAGCCACGGCUAACUACGUG